GGGGAUGUGGCGGAAUUGGUAGACGCUGCGGACUUAAAAUUUGAGCCUUUUUAAAGAAAUUUAAAAAGUGCCUGCUCACAAAAUCAGGGAAAUAUGUUUAACUGAAUUCUUUAAAUUCAGGUUUUAUAAAUUCUUUUAAAAUUUCCGAAUUUUAAAAUAAACACUUGGCGUACGCCAAAAAAUUAAUCCUGAGCCAAAUAAUUUAUAAAUAAAUUAGAGGUGCAGAGACUUGACGAGAGCUAUGCUGUUUUAUUUUAAAGCAUAAAGGUAAAGUCCAAUAUAUAUGUUUUUUGCAGCUUGGCUGCAGUAAUUUGAAAAACUCUGACCAAGAACUAGAAGAUGCAACGUAAAACUGUCAUUAAAGUUGUGUUAUUUAAAUUCCAACUUCACUGCAGUUUACCCUAGUUUAGUAUGUCUUCAGUUUUUUCUAAGGAAGUUAAACAAAUUUAUUAUUGAAAAUCCGUUGGUUUUUGCUAACCGUGAGGGUUCAAGUCCCUCCAUCCCCAC
rnacentral:tRNA from 1 species